rnacentral:rRNA from 1 species
UACGGAGGGUGCAAGCGUUAUUCGGAAUUACUGGGCGUAAAGCGCACGUAGGCGGCCUUGUAAGUCAGGGGUGAAAUCCCACGGCUCAACCGUGGAACUGCCUUUGAAACUGCAGGGCUUGAAUCCUGGAGAGGGUGGCGGAAUUCCUGGUGUAGGAGUGAAAUCCGUAGAUAUCAGGAGGAACACCGGUGGCGAAGACGGCCACCUGGACAGGUAUUGACGCUGAGGUGCGAAAGUGUGGGGAGCAAACAGGAUUAGAUACCCUGGUAGUCCCUGA